GAAUAAGGAUCGGCUAACUCCGUGCCAGCAGCCGCGGUAAUACGGAGGAUCCGAGCGUUGUCCGGAUUUAUUGGGUUUAAAGGGUGCGUAGGCGGAUCUUUAAGUCAGUGGUGAAAGCCUGCGGCUCAACUGUAGAAUUGCCAUUGAAACUGAAGAUCUUGAAUUAGGUUAAAGUAGGCGGAAUGUAUCAUGUAGCGGUGAAAUGCUUAGAUAUGAUACAGAACACCGAUAGCGAAGGCAGCUUGCUGAACCUAUAUUGACGCUGAGGCACG
rnacentral:rRNA from 1 species